UACGUAGGGUGCAAGCGUUAAUCGGAAUUACUGGGCGUAAAGGGCGCGCAGGUGGUUCUGUAAGUCAGACGUGAAAUCCCCGGGCUUAACCUGGGAACUGCGUUUGAAACUACAGGACUAGAGUGUGGCAGAGGGAGGUGGAAUUCCAUGUGUAGCAGUGAAAUGCGUAGAGAUAUGGAAGAACAUCGAUGGCGAAGGCAACCUCCUGGGUUAACACUGACGCUCAUGCACGAAAGCGUGGGGAGCAAACAGG
rnacentral:rRNA from 1 species